UUCAGGUGAUGCUGUCAGAAGGAGCAGCACAGGAAUGAGAGCGAGGAGAUGACACAAAAAAAGGUGUGAAGGUGCUAUGGUCUGAAUGUGCUCCCCUAGAGGAGGGGACCCUUGGGAAGUGAUGAGGUCACCAGGAUGGAGCCAUCAUGAUGGGGCUUCAGGUGAGAAAGCUAGCCUCUAAGAAGAGCCUCAGCUGCACAUCUGGCAAUGGGGAGAGAAUUUAUGGAGAAGAAUGGAGUCGAUCCAUCCACCCACCCUCUCGUCCAGCCCUUUCUUGACAAGCACAGCGGAGUCUCCAAAUUGGGAUAGAGCAGCAUCCAGCAUCUUGCUUAGGAUUUUGUCAUUGAGGAUGCAGUCAGUUAAGUGCCUGCCUUCAACUCACGUCAUUCUCCUGA